CACUGACACACACAACAAUCUUCAUCAACAUGACCUUCAUCAUCAUCUUCAUCUGGACUCUCACAGCGUUUGCUCAAGAGAGUAGAGGACAGAUCAGCGUCACUCAGAGUCCCUCAACGACAGCAGCUCAACCAGAAGAAACAGUCAAAAUCAACUGUAGAACCAGCACAGAUGUGUACAAUGAUGGUUCUGAUGAUUAUUUAGCCUGGUACUUACAGAAACCUGGAGAAGCUCCUAAACUCCUGAUUCGUUAUGCAAAACAACUCUACACUGGCACUCCAUCUAGAUUCAGUGGCAGUGGAUCUAACAGUGAUUUCACUCUGACCAUCAGUGGAGUCCAGACUGAAGAUGCUGGACAUUAUUACUGUCAGAGUCACCACAGUGGUCCAGUGUUCACACAGUGA